AACAAAUGAGCUUACUGUGUUUGUACGUGACGGCAAAUGGGACCUAGCCAAUCUUAUAUAAGAUCACAACCCUAGUACCACCCAUCAUGGACUCUAGAGUUGGGCCUACACUUUGUUUCUACACAAAUCAGAAUUAGUGUUCAAGCCCAUUAUUACUGAUCACAAUUAUCGGGCUUAAGCAUCAUCAAAUGGAUCACAACAACAUCAACCCGUUUUUAUUAAAACCAAAA
rnacentral:lncRNA from 1 species